AUAAAAACCUGAAUUUGUGGCAGCAGUAAUAUUGCAGUAGUAGGCCAGCACAACUAAAUAAUAAAGCCGCAACAGGACUUUUAAUUUGAAAUUCUGACACAGCAGCGACGUUUGCAGGGCUGGAGCUAAUUAGCCUUGAUUGCUAACAGCCUCUCAGCGCAGCGGCUAUAGGCAGUCCCGUGUAUUUUUAGCUUUAAGCUAACUGAGACCCUGACAAACUUUUUACUCCGCUCAGGAGAGCGGGAAUCCGGUAAAGUGAGUAAAUUGAGGGCAGCCAUGAAGUUACUGAACGGUCCAGUCAGCGGCUUUAGUGUUAAAAUAGGAAAACCAGGACCAGCCGGACUUCCUGGAAAACCGGGGCCUAAAGGUAAAGCUGGGAUCCCAGGGACGGCUGGGACCCCCGGCCUGCCUGGACUGCCUGGAGUAGACGGUUUGCCGGGUCCUGAUGGUCCGGCGGGGAAGGACGGACCCCCGGGGCAGAGAGUAAGUGUCUGAAUGUCUCUGUGAGUCUGCUGUGUGAACUGUUUUGUAUUUAUUGCUCUCAGAAUUGCU
rnacentral:lncRNA from 1 species